AGGAGGAAGAGGCUGCUUUUAGCUGUGGAGAUGUCUGAGACAGCUUCAUGGAGAAAGUAGCACCUGAGCUGACCCUCCUAGGGAAAGAUGCCAAGAUGUAGAAAUGAAGAGAAGGUGCACUCCAGACAGAAAGUUAAAGGGACGGCUCACUGCUUCUUCUUGGAGAGACAGAUAAAAGAGUUGGCAAAGUUGAUUUUAUUGUAUCCAAAGAUAGUAUACUCACUCUUUCCUACUGGAAACCAAAAAAAAAAAAUGGAGAGGAACACCAGACUCUUACUGAUCACUGCCCUGGAGCACAGAGUCGACUCCAGAUGGCUCUGGAGGUGAUCAGGAGGGCAGAGGUACCAAAUCUAAUCUUCCAGUUCCACAGACCCUUCCCUUCAUCACCAGCCAUUCAUCAUAAAGUUUUGCUGCAUUGUGGCACCCAAGGACUUCCUAGAAUGUUCAAAAAGAUCAAUAGAUCAACAAGCAUAUAUUAAGCACCUAGUAUGUGCCAGGGGACACUAGGUGCUGGAGAUAAGAAGAAUCUCUAUUUAAAAGUUUAUAUCUCUAUACCAUUGACUUUUAAAAAGUGCCCCAACCCCACCCACCAUUUCUACAUAAAACCCUGAACCCUUUGCUUUCUAGUAUAAUGGGGGUUGCACCUCAUGGACAGAGUUAUCCUGCCUACUUCUCAAUGACCAGGUGGGCUGGCUCAAUGCUUGAUUCAGGAGCUUAUUGGGGUGAUGGAGCAAUCCUCUUAUUGUGAGUUCUUUACCCUGAUGAGACUAACAAGGGAAGGGCUGCAUCAGUUUAAAGAGGAGAGACAGCUUCCAGCUCUCUGUCUCUGUCUCUCCUUUUCCAUCUCUCUGUCUCUGUCUCUCUAUCUCUUCCUUUCUGUCUCUGGAACGUAUGACCAAUAGUUCUCUCUCCUUGAAUUUCCCAUGGAGGGUGGGUGAAGAAAGGAAGCUCAUCCUACCACAAUCAGCUACUGCUCCCACAAAACGACUAGAGCAAGGCUCAGCUAGGUGAGCUUAAGCCUCAGAUUCUGGCUGCUUCUUUUGCUUUGAAUUUCUUUGCCUGAAUGUAGGUGACUGAGCAGCAAUCCUAAAAUGGACAUAUCCAGCCUUGGAGGUCACCUCAUGAACUCAAGAGGAUCCUUAGUCAGUAUGAGAAAUAUUUUUCUUAUAUCUGUUUCUGGGCUUCUUGAAGAAGACAAUCGCCAGCCAGAGUAUGAGAGCAAGUCCUGGGCUGACUUACCAGAAGAUGUGGAUCUAGAAGGAAUUGUUUAGACAGUGUAGAGCCAAGGUGAAAUAUAAAAUGUCUAUUCAUCUGUCCAUGAAACUGCAUCAUGUCUGUGUUUUAAGUAUCAACCUCCUGGGAGAGUAUAAUAGCAGCUAUAUUAAUAUAUCCAUUUCAAGUCUUUUGUCAAUGCAUGAUUGCAAAUCUUGUGUAUGCUAAGUAUGUCUUUUGUGCAGAGGAAAUAAAGCUGGUCUG